GGAUUGUGGCUCAGUGGUAGAGCACUUGCCUAGCAUGCAUGAAGCACUGGGUUCCAUCCCCAGCACCA
rnacentral:tRNA from 1 species